rnacentral:rRNA from 1 species
UACGUAGGGGGCAAGCGUUGUCCGGAAUCAUUGGGCGUAAAGAGCGUGUAGGCGGCCCGAUAAGUCCGCUGUGAAAGUCCAGGGCUCAACCCUGGAAUGCCGGUGGAUACUGUCGGGCUCGAAUCCGGAAGAGGUGAGUGGAAUUCCUGGUGUAGCGGUGGAAUGCGCAGAUAUCAGGAGGAACACCAACGGCGAAGGCAGCUCGCUGGGACGGUACUGACACUGAGGCGCGAAAGCGUGGGGAGCGAACAGG